rnacentral:rRNA from 1 species
UACGUAGGGUGCGAGCGUUAAUCGGAAUUACUGGGCGUAAAGGGUGCGCAGGCGGCGUCGCAAGUCAGGCGUGAAAUCCCCGGGCUUAACCUGGGAAUGGCACUUGAAACUACGAUGCUGGAGUAUGGCAGAGGGAGGUGGAAUUCCACGUGCAGCGGUGAAAUGCGUAGAGAUGUGGAGGAACACCGAUGGCGAAGGCAGCCUCCUGGGCCAAUACUGACGCUCAUGUGCGAAAGCGUGGGGAGCAAACAGG